rnacentral:rRNA from 1 species
AUUGAACGCUGGCGGCAGGCCUAACACAUGCAAGUCGAGCGGAUGAAGGGAGCUUGCUCCUGGAUUCAGCGGCGGACGGGUGAGUAAUGCCUAGGAAUCUGCCUGGUAGUGGGGGAUAACGUCCGGAAACGGGCGCUAAUACCGCAUACGUCCUGAGGGAGAAAGUGGGGGAUCUUCGGACCUCUCGCUAUCAGAUGAGCCUAGGUCGGAUUAGCUAGUUGGUGGGGUAAAGGCCUACCAAGGCGACGAUCCGUAACUGGUCUGAGAGGAUGAUCAGUCACACUGGAACUGAGACACGGUCCAGACUCCUACGGGAGGCAGCAGUGGGGAAUAUUGGACAAAGGGCGAAAGCCUGAUCCAGCCAUGCCGCGUGUGUGAAGAAGGUCUUCGGAUUGUAAAGCACUUUAAGUUGGGAGGAAGGGCAGUAAGUUAAUACCUUGCUGUUUUGACGUUACCAACAGAAUAAGCACCGGCUAACUUCGUG